UACGUAGGGUGCAAGCGUUAAUCGGAAUUACUGGGCGUAAAGCGUGCGCAGGCGGUUAUGUAAGACAGAUGUGAAAUCCCCGGGCUCAACCUGGGAACUGCCUUUGUGACUGCAUAGCUAGAGUACGGGAGAGGGGGAUGGAAUUCCGCGUGUAGCAGUGAAAUGCGUAGAUAUGCGGAGGAACACCGAUGGCGAAGGCAAUCCCCUGGGCCUGUACUGACGCUCAUGCACGAAAGCGUGGGGAGCAAACAGG
rnacentral:rRNA from 1 species